UCUCCCUUCAAGGUGGCUGUGAAAUGUUUAUUAUAAAAAUCAUAUCACAGCCAGCUUAGAGGAGCGACA
rnacentral:pre_miRNA from 12 species